AACGAACGCUGGCGGCAGGCUUAACACAUGCAAGUCGAGCGAGACCUUCGGGUCUAGCGGCGGACGGGUGAGUAACGCGUGGGAACGUGCCCUUCUCUACGGAAUAGCCCCGGGAAACUGGGAGUAAUACCGUAUACGCCCUUUGGGGGAAAGAUUUAUCGGAGAAGGAUCGGCCCGCGUUGGAUUAGGUAGUUGGUGGGGUAAUGGCCCACCAAGCCGACGAUCCAUAGCUGGUUUGAGAGGAUGAUCAGCCACACUGGGACUGAGACACGGCCCAGACUCCUACGGGAGGCAGCAGUGGGGAAUCUUAGACAAUGGGGGCAACCCUGAUCUAGCCAUGCCGCGUGAGUGAUGAAGGCCUUAGGGUUGUAAAGCUCUUUCAGUUGGGAAGAUAAUGACGGUACCAGCAGAAGAAGCCCCGGCUAACUCCGUG
rnacentral:rRNA from 1 species